rnacentral:rRNA from 1 species
UACGUAGGGUGCGAGCGUUAAUCGGAAUUACUGGGCGUAAAGCGUGCGCAGGCGGUUUUGUAAGCCAGAUGUGAAAGCCCCGGGCUCAACCUGGGAAUGGGCAUUUGGGACUGGCAAGGCUUGAGUGCGGCAGAGGAGACGUAGAAUUCCUGGUGUAGCAGUGAAAUGCGUAGAUAUCAGGAGGAAUACCGAUGGCGAAGGCAGGUCUCUGGGCUGACACUGACGCUCAUGCACGAAAGCGUGGGGAGCAAACAGG